rnacentral:lncRNA from 1 species
CUUUAAUAAAUUAAAUAUUGACUGAAAUUAAACAAUUGUAACUUUGUCCCUUACUAGCUGAAUUCUCACAUCUGAAUGGCUUACUAAAAAAAGAAAAGAAAAGAAAGGAAAAAUUGAGGUCCCCAGCACAGGAAACAAACAAAGAUGUGCGGUAAUUAACACGUGCGGGAUCUUCACUGCCGGAAGCACUCACGCUGCACGCAGGCACAGGCGGCAGAAGGUAGUACGUGCAGCAGGUGAUUCUCGGCGGUUCUCCCAUAGGGAUCCGGGGGUUUGGCUUGAUUAUUUUCCGUACGUUUUCCUUGCUUCUGCCAGACACCUGAGGGCACUGCCAGCCCGGGUCCAGAGCAGCCGGGCUCUAGCGUCUUUAACCCGCCCAUCUACUGGUUAUUUACAAUGCAGCACGUGUCCAUUGUGAUGCAAAAAGAACACCCCGUUCACACCCUCCCCUCCAUGUAUCCCGGUACACCAACCUGCCCACGGCUCAUCCAUACAGGGCUAAAUAAUCCGGGUGAUUUUAAAAUCAGAAUAAUAAUUUAAAAAAACAAUAGUUUUUUUUUUAUUGAUUUCAAUUUAAAAGGCUUUAUUUGGGGCAGACCUCCUUGAAAGGUUGUCGUAUUCGUGUCCAACAGGGUUUCUGAGACAUUUGUGUUCACUGGCUGGGAGUGUGCUGGGCCAGGAAGGCCGUGUGGUCUCCAAAGUCUCGCUUUGCAAUACAUCUUCAGGAACAGAUUCGGCUCACGUGAUGAGAAAUGCUGUCCUUCCCUUCUGGGCAGGGAAGGCUUGGGGGAGGGAAGGACAAACUCCCACCCACCCCAGGCCGGGUACGCGAAGGGUUCUGUACAGGAGAAAGGACGCACGGGAGGGACACUGUCUUCAGGGGGCUCUCUGGAGCCACACUGCCUACGAAAAGUAUUUACACGUAUUUGCCACGCUGUGCACUAAGCUGCCGGGUGGGCACCGGGGGGGGGAUGCUGGACCCAUCAGCCCUUAGAUGGCAACUCCAGGACCCAGUCUUGGCAUCUCCGUAAAUCUGUACAGUUCGUGGGCUUCUAUUUACAGGCAGGAGGCCUGAGGAAGCAAGUCCAGGGUGGUGGCUGUCAGGAGAAAUCCGGGAGAGCCCAGGAGGUGGUGGCCACUCCGCCCCACCGGAGAAGCCAAGAUAGGUUUGCUUCCUGUGCCCGGGGGCC